rnacentral:rRNA from 1 species
UACAGAGGGGGCAAGCGUUGUUCGGAAUUACUGGGCGUAAAGGGCGCGUAGGCGGCCUUCUAAGUCGAACGUGAAAUCCCCGGGCUCAACCCGGGAACUGCGUCCGAUACUGGAAGGCUUGAAUCCGGGAGAGGGAUGCGGAAUUCCAGGUGUAGUGGUGAAAUGCGUAGAGAUCGGCAGGAACACCCAGGGGGAAACCAGUCGACUGGGCAGCACCUGACGCUGAGGUGCGAGAGCGUGGGGAGCGAACCGG